UACGGGGGGGGCAAGCGUUGUUCGGAAUUACUGGGCGUAAAGGGCUCGUAGGCGGCCAACUAAGUCAUACGUGAAAUCCCUCGGCUUAACCGGGGAACUGCGUCUGAUACUGGAUGGCUUGAGUUCGGGAGAGGGAUGCGGAAUUCCAGGUGUAGCGGUGAAAUGCGUAGAUAUCUGGAGGAACACCGGUGGCGAAGGCGGUUCUCUGGGCCUUACCUGACACUGAGGAGCGAAAGCGUGGGGAGCGAACAGG
rnacentral:rRNA from 1 species